rnacentral:lncRNA from 1 species
UUACUAAGAGUUAGUAAGUUAUAAGAGGAUUAAUUUAUAAAUAUUAUUAAUUAUUUGAUUUGAUCAAAUAUGGAUCGAAUCAAAUCAGAUCUAAUCUGACUGAAUUUGAUUUAAUUUGAAUUUUUGAGUCUAAAUAGGAUUUGAACUUAAUUCCUAAUUUGGUUUGACUCAAUUUAUAUUCGACUCAUAUUCGAAUCAGAUUGAAAUUAAGUUAGAAAACCAGAGUUCUAUUAGACUGGGAGUCUCUUCCCUUAUCCAUGCAUGGGACGCCCAACCAAAUUACCGUAGCCAUUUAUUUUUGCAUAGAAGAAAGGAAAAAAAAAGGGGCACACAAACUAAAGUGGGCGACACAAGAGUCCUUCUCUAGAAGGACUCUUAACAAACUCCACAAAACCCUAUUUGAUAAGGUUUAAAAAGGGGGCACCUCCAUAACCCAUCUCAUGAUGAAAUAUGAGAGCUUGGUGGCAUGUAAGAAAGAAAAGAAAAGGAGGGUGUGCAUGGGUUGUUAGCGCACAAAAGAGAAGAAAAAAAAAGGGAGGGGUGCUCUAUGUGAUAGAUGCCCCACCCUUCUCCCUUUCCAACAUCCAUGAGAUGGAUGAAUGCUCUUCUUCCUCUCUUCUAACGUCCAUGAGAUGGAUGUGAUUUUCUCUCUUCCUUGGUCCAAGAGUUGGAUCAACCAUCUCUCUCCUUUUUUUACCAUUGAUGUCCAAGAGUUGGACAUAUUUUCUCCUCUAUGAUCAGUCCAAGAAUUGGAUGGAAAGAAAAGAAAAAAAAAUUGGAUCUCUUGUUCUUCUUCUUCAGAUCUUCUACUUUCUCUUAAGAAGAGAAAGAGAAAAGAAAUUAGAUUAGAUCUGAUUUCUUAAUCCUCUUAUGGAUCUUUUUGAUUCUCUUAAGAAGAGAAUCAAAAGAGAUAAAAGAUUCGACAAUUCAAAGAGCGAUCUCUGUAAGGAAGCUAGCAUCCCGAUGAGAUCGAAUUUUUUGAGCAGAUCUACCUCGUAUAGAUACCUGUAAAGGUUGGAUACUUAUGUGGCUUCAAAAAGACCUUGAAGAUAUCCAUAGAUCAUCGGAUCACGGUUUCAACGGACCAUGAAGAUAUCCAUGGAUCAGACUAGGUAACAUUUUCUAUUUCUGAUUGAGCAAUAGAUGGCUGAGUUAUGACUUUAUUAGUUAUAUCGGUGUUCUACAGUAGUAAAUAAAGACAAUCGGAUGACGGUGAAGAUCUACCUGCGCAAAGAUUUUUAUUUUUACAAGAAUCUUAAUCUUGUACAUAUGAUGAUUUUUGACUUUAUGUUGAGAUAUGACUCUAUGCAUGCUUGAUUAGAUUAGAUCUAAUUAGAGAUUUGUUUUAGCAUCGUUUUAAUAUAAGAUUGUCCUGGUAUAAUUUUGAUAUGUUAUGCUGCAUGGUUGUUGAAAAAUUUUUGAAAUUCUCUUCCACUGCAUAUUGAAAAAAAUUGAAAUCUCUACAUGCAUAUCGGAUCGCUAUAUGAUGGCAUUUUCCUACAGUGGUAUCAGAGUCAUCUCAUUAUUGCAAGAUUAAGAUUAAAUUUUAAAUCUAAAAAUUAUUUUUAAAUCUGAAAUCAUGAAUCAUUAUAGAAAGGAGAUGGAGUUUAAGAUCUGAAAAUUAUUUUUAGAUCUGAAAAUCUGAAUGACUGAAAUUCAUGUGAUGGAUUUCAUUAUUUGAAAAUUUAUUUUCAGAUCUAAAAUUUAGAUUAUUUUAUGUUCAUGCAUUGAUUCAAGAUUUAAAAAUUAUUUUAAGAUCUAAAAAUCUGAUUUUUUAUGUUCAUGCAUUCAUAAUUUGGUAUCUAAUUUUUAUGUGAUAUGAAUCCUAUUAGAUCAUAUGUUCAUGCAUAAAAUGUUCAUAGAUAGAGACUCAUCUUGAUGUGAUCUAUGAUGAUAUAGAUGUUUUCAAAUUAGAUUAAUUUGAUUCAACAUAGAUUUUAUAAAUUAAUCUUAGAUUUUCCUGAUAUAAGAUUGUUCUGACAUAACAAAAGUCGUUAUGUGAUAUGGUUAUCCUAGGAUGAAAAGAGAUUGAUAAAGCAUCAUAAGAAAUUAGCAUGAAUUUAAGAACUAUGUGAUGGUCACGCAUGUAUUUUUCAUGGAUACAUGUAGUGAUCUCCUUGAAUCACUACAAACCUUAGGAAUAGGGUUGUAUCAUAAAUACACUUUAGAUAGUUGCAAUCUCAAUUUGUGGUGAGGAAUCAAAGUCAAGCCUAAUUUGGAAUAGAUUGAUCUAUUGGUGUCUAAAGCAAGUACUUUAAAAGGUGGUUACUUAAUUAGGAUCGUUGUAUCAACAGUGGGGAGCCUCCCAUCGAUCAUCACUUAUCUGAUCAAUUUGAUUGAUCAAAUUUUGAUUUGGAGUGUUUAGUAUUGAGUUCACCAUGAUUAUGUUACACCAUGAGUCUAAUCUUGAUAAGUCAAGAUGCGAUCUCACUAGUAGAUCUAAUUUAAUUAUAGAUUUAUAUGUGAUGUAAAUAAACAACUAAAAUCUAAGAAGAUCUAAAUUAAAUCUUUUCAUAAAAUUAUUAAAUCGAGCAGUCUUCUAUCGUUGUAGAUAUGCGGGCCCUUUCAGAUGUUGAUUGUUCUCAGCUGGAUACAGUGGUUCAAUUACAUCAAAGAAGACACAAUCAUUCUAUAGCAUGAGAUGCUUCAGGGUAGACAUGGGGUUGGGCCCAAUAACUAUUAGGUGAAGGACCUAAUAACGGCUUUACAUCCGAUAAUGAACAGUGAGUCUGACUUAACUAAGGAAUGAGAUCAAUAAAUAUUAGAUGAGGCUUCAGAAAUUAGAGACUGAUGACCACUGUAAUUUGCUUGAGAAGCAUUGGACAAGAGUUGCUCACUCAUUAAUCAACACAUCGUCAAUAACUGUUAGAUGAGGUGGUGUGCCAAUUGAUGGGACCAUAGUAUUCAUUUGAAAUCCUAAUCACGAAAGGUUUCUGUUUCUCUAUUUGAAGAGUGUAAAAGAUUCGAGAAAAUAGUGGGAGAC